GGGCCGUUAACUCAGCGGUAGAGUAUCUGCCUUUUAAGCAGAGAGUCGCUGGUUCGAUUCCAGCACGGCCCACCA
rnacentral:tRNA from 1 species